rnacentral:rRNA from 1 species
GACGAACGCUGGCGGCGUGCUUAACACAUGCAAGUCGAACGGAAAGGCCCUGCUUUUGUGGGGUGCUCGAGUGGCGAACGGGUGAGUAACACGUGAGUAACCUGCCCUUGACUUUGGGAUAACUUCAGGAAACUGGGGCUAAUACCGGAUAGGAGCUCCUGCUGCAUGGUGGGGGUUGGAAAGUUUCGGCGGUUGGGGAUGGACUCGCGGCUUAUCAGCUUGUUGGUGGGGUAGUGGCUUACCAAGGCUUUGACGGGUAGCCGGCCUGAGAGGGUGACCGGCCACAUUGGGACUGGGGUGCGGCCCAGACUCCUACGGGAGGCAGCGGUGGGAAAUAUAGCAAAAUGGGCGGAGGCCGGAUGCAGCAACGCCGGGUGCGAGAUGACGGCCUUCGGGUAGUAAACCGCUUUCGCCUGUGACGAAGCGUGAGGGACGGUAAUGGGUAAAGAAGCACCGGCUAACUACGU